rnacentral:tRNA from 87 species
GCGGGCGUAGCUCAGUGGUAGAGCACAACCUUGCCAAGGUUGGGGUCGAGAGUUCGAAUCUCUUCGCCCGCUCCA